GAACGACUCUCGGCAACGGAUAUCUCGGCUCUCGCAUCGAUGAAGAACGUAGCGAAAUGCGAUACUUGGUGUGAAUUGCAGAAUCCCGUGAACCAUCGAGUCUUUGAACGCAAGUUGCGCCCGAUGCCUUCUGGCCGAGGGCAUGUCUGCCUGGGCGUCACGC
rnacentral:rRNA from 1 species